AUGUUACACAUUCACAUGCAUCUCUCUCCAUUUCCAACUAAGAUGGAAGUGCUGUCCUUUCUUGUCCUGUUCACUGUUUCUCCUGUGCUUCAAGCCAUGCCACUGCCUCCUCAAGGCGCCUGCACUGUUAACUUUCCUUCUUUUUUUCUGGUAUCUUCAACCUCCUUCUCUAUUGUCUUUUUCCUAUGCAUAUCCAAGUGUCUUUCUUUCUUUUUUUAUUUUUUUAACUAUUCUCACCCAAUUUUAUAUUCACAUUCAACACAGUAUCUCCUUUCUCUUCCUGUUUUUUAUGUGUCUUGAGGAAAUUGCCAAAUAUACUGGCUGUUCCUCCUUUGUUGGAUGCAAUUGCUUGGCUUCUUGAACAGCAGUACGCUGACAUUAUAGCUUUUGAUACCUUCCAAGCACUUUAAAGGUUUUCUAAACAAUGGCACUCUUGCACCUAAAUCCAAUAGAUGGUUCUUUUCUUGAAUGAUGUCUUGGAAGUGUUUUAAAUUAUUUAACCAAUCUUUCUUAUUUUUUAUUAAAGGAUAAUUUACAUACAUGAAAAUUGAUCCUCUUAGUAUACAGUUAUAACAGUUUUGACAUAUGUGUACAAUUGUAGAACCAAUACAAUCAAGAUACAUAAUAAUUCCAUCAUCCCUUAAAAUUUUCUUGUGCCCAUGGUAACCAACCUCUCCCUCAGUCAGUCCUCUGACCACUACCGAUCUAUUUGCUGACCUUAUAAUGUUGCCUUUUCCAACAUGUCAUAAAAGUAGAGUCAUAGAGUAUGGAGCCUUUUUGGCCCAGCUUCUUUCAAAUAGCAUUGCACUUUUGUUGUGCACUUCAUCACAAUGUUGUUUUGUGUUUCAGUCAUUCAUUCCUUUUAUUCUAAGUAGUAUUGCACUGUAUAGAUAUACCUCAGUUUAACCAUUCACUGAUUUAAGGAUAUUUGGAUUGGUUCUAGUUUUUAUAAUUAACAAUAAAUCCUGUAUAAACUUUGGGAUAGAGAUGUUUAUGUAAGCACAAGGUUUUAUAUUUUGUAGGUAAAUUCCUAGGGGUAGGAUAACUGGGUCAUAUACUAACUGUAUGUUUAUCUUUACAAGAAAUUACCAAACUGUUUCUAGCAUGGCUGUGCUUUGUGUGUUCCUACCAGCAUAGCAGGAGAACAGGUGCUCCAAAUACCUGGAAAUCUGCCUGGGAAUAGGGUGGACAGGGCCCCACAGCACUAUAUAUUAGGGGAGCAGGCUGGGGCACCCAGCAAUGACACACACAGAAUCAGUUGCAGGUUGCCAAACUGGCCCUAUCUCUUAAGUCUUUCCACCUAGAAGAAACUGCAGCUGUAGCAGCUCUCGUCUUACCCAAGGCUUGCAAUGGGGGAGAGCACAAUUCCAGCACCUACUGCUGAGGCGCUUUCCACAGUUCUGGCCGUGAAGGCCCCCAACUCACUCCAGAGCAGGUGUUCCAAUCUCUGGUCUGAGACUAAAAUGCCUGCAUGGCCAAACUGUUGGCUUUCUAGGCGCCCAGAUUAAUAAUGACGUCCUGCUCUGAGUCCUGGAUCUUGGAGAGUAUCUGCAGCAUUUCCCAGUGUCUUUCCCUCCCAACAUCUCCAAGCCUCUCCCCAAGUUAGCUCCAGGGCUUGAAAGAAACAAAGUGUUCUCUUUCUGUCUCAGCCUGGGUUGCUGAGAUCCCCGUGGGAAAGGUAAAUCACAGAGUGAGGCGCUCUGCCUCUCUCAGGUACUGGGGCUUCACUCACUUUUAUUAGCAGGAUGCCGCCAUAGAGGCUGUUUGCAAGCAUUCUUCUCUCUGGGAUCUGGAGUGUCCUUCAUGAUUCCAGUGGAUUCCCAUUUUUCUUCUUGAAUUAAAGCCCAUAAUGUUGAUCUUUAUGUAAUAUCUUGCUAUUCCCAAUUGGCCGAGACAUGCUAAAAGCCUCUAAUCUGCCAUCUUGGGGGAAAUAAAACUGCCUUUUCUUUUUCUUGUCUUGGUACAAUCUCCAGCAAGAUGUAGAAUAAAAGGACCACUCCUUUUUGUGACCCCCUUUUCUUGGCACCAAUUUCCAUAAAAAAAAAUAAAUUCUAUGUCCUUGAUUACUUCUUCUCAGUCUAUUUCAGUCAUCCUUUCUCUCUUCUUCUAAAUGAUCAUUUUUUUCUCAUUCUUUUUUUCUUCUUAAUUUAUACAUGUUCCCUUCACCCAACUGUCACUCAACUCAUGAUUUUCCUGAUGUAGUUACUCUUAUCACUCCCCUAUCUACUCAUCUAAUUACUCUGAGUGAAUAUUGCAUCUUAAUUUCUCAAAAACACUUAGAAUUAUGUAGGUCCAGAAAACAGAUAAUUACUUCUUCCGUCCCCUGCAUUUGUGAUCAUAAUGAAUGAUUCUAAUAACCACUCACUCAAACCAGAAACCUGAGAAUCUUGUGCAUCUCUUUCAUGCUUAACUUCUAAACAAUACAAGUUAUCAUUUUUCAUUUCAGUAUUAGCAAUUUCAUAUGGUUCCAACAAUAGAAAUUAUCAUUUAACAUUUUAGCAUUAGCAAUUUCAUAUGGUUCCAACUAAUAUAUUCAUUCAACCACUAAAUUCUCGUGAAUAUCUCAGAAACGAAUUCACUUUUCUUCACCCAUUGCUAUUGCCUCUAUUCUAGAUUCUAUCACUUCUAUCUAGGAGAUACAAUGAUAGCCUCUCAAAUGGCCUUCUUCUGGUUUCCCUCAUACUCUUUCCAUUACAUUCUUCAAACUGUGGCCAGCCAACUUAAAAAUCUGAUCAUGCUAGAACGCUUAGCUAAAUAUUUUCAUUUUUUUCAACAUCCUCAGUAAAAUCCAAACUCUACCUCCAAUUACCCUAUAUAAUGUGGUGUUAGUUUAGAUCUUCUCUGUAGCCUCCCCUCUUACUAUACCUCUCCUCUCUUUCAAUUUGUACUCUUGAUCAAUUUGUACCCAAUCUCCCCAAGCAAUUCUACUGAAGUUGUGAAUAUGUUCUAGAGAAAUAAUACAACAGAACCUUCAUUAUAUAUUGAGAUAAAGUCUUAACUUUGCUACUGAUUCACAAAUUUUAUUCAUACUCACUUUUCUAUGUUACCCACAAAGACAACAGUUUCUUAGUAACAGCCCUCCCCAAUCUUUUAUGAUUAAUGUGUGGAUUUUUGUAGCAUGCCAGAAAGUAUUGACAAGGCAUCUUUAUUUCUAUUCUGCCUACCUGUUCUAUACAUUUGUUCAUACUUGGGAAAAUUAAAGAUUUCUUAGCUUCAAGAUUUUCAUCUAUGUGUCGAAUAUCAUAGUUUCAUCAUCUGGUUGUUGUAAGGCUCAAUGAGAAUAUAUAUGAGAGGACAUUCUGUAAAAUAUGAAGCUCCUUACAAAAUGCUUACACUUGUCAUUGCCCAGUAAGGUUAAAGUCCUUUGAUUUCUUAGCUAUGAAUUAAUUUUCUAUAAACCAAACCAACUGGACUGCCUAUUACAAUUAUAAAAACUUCAUAUUGUUUGCCUCAUUUCCAUUGUAACCAUGGGAAUUUAUUGUUACCAAGGACUACCCAUGUGUUUUAUAAUGAAUAAACUUUAAAGAAAGUUUUAUGACUGCAUUUUUUUUUUCAUGAUAAAAGCAGCAUGUCCAGGCUACAUACAUUAAAUCUAAUAGGACAUCUCAUUCAUUAGAAGAGCUUUUGAUCGAGAGAUUAAAGAAGUUCUUAUACUGGUAUAGUUAUAAUCUCUAUGUUUAACAACUUUAAAAUAACAAAAGUGCACAAUAAUAGUGAUUCAUAUAAUUCAAAAUACGAAAGAUUAUCUAUUUUCGUGAGAUUCUUGCAUAAUUUAACCAAAACUAUUUUUAUCUUAUUUUUUAUUUAUGUUUUUGAGACAGGGUCUCACUCUGUUGCCCAGGCUGGAGUGCAGUGGUGUGAUCUCGACUCACUGCCUCCUCUGCCUCCCGGGUUCAAGGGAUUCUCCUGCCUCAGACUCCAGAGUAACUGGGAUUACAGGUGUGGGCCACUGUGCCCGGCUAAUUUUUAGGAGAUGGGGUUUCACCAUGUUGACCACGCUGGUCUCGAAGUCCUGGCCUCGAGUGAUCCACGCACCUCGGCCUCCCAAAUUGCUGGGAUUACAAGCAUGAGCCAAUGUGCCCGGUCCAAAAAUAUUUUUAAAGUUACUUGUUUUUACACCAACUAUUUAAAAAUCUUACUAUAUUAUAUCAUUAAUUUUGAAAAAAUAAAUCAAAGUAGUCAUUCAUAGGCUAUGCAUUUCCUAUGUAUUGCAAGUCCCCUGAUAGUUACUGCCUUGCAAUUUUUAUAUUCCUAUAUAUUUGGAAACAAUAAGUAAAGAGAAGAGGGACAAUAUCUAAAUGUAUG
rnacentral:lncRNA from 1 species